ACUCAGUAAUGGAUCCACAUGAUUGUUGUGCUGACUACAGAGAAAAAAGAAAAGAGCAAAGUAAUUAAAUUAGACUUUUAAUAUAAAACAAAUUGUGGAAACACCUCCAGCCUGUGAAAGGGGGGAAAAAGAUUAACUGUGAAGGAUUUUAAGAGAAGUAACAGGUAGUUGUGUCCGACAGGUUACUGUAGCUAGAAGCCUAGGACAACAUGCAGGGAAGGAAAACAUCUUGGAUAUGAAUAGUAUAUGAUGGACAUUCAGUAUGAAUUAUAUGAAAGCGUCUGCCUGCAUUAUCACCUAUCAAUCUUGCUCAUCACAUAAUUAUCUGUUCAUUUGGCAUAAAUGACUUGGUAGUCCAUCUUCUUACCCAGAGAGCUCGACCCCUUGUAAAGAACACACACUUAAGACAUUACACACACCACAAGGGAAACAUUUCUGUUCUGCUUCAGUCCACUAAAAAAAUAACUGCAGAUAAGUUAUACAUUUGAUUUUUUUCCCAAUGAAAUAUACUGCUAUUCCUGAUCUGUCCACUAGGGGUCGCCCUGUUCUAAUAAAAGUAUCCCGUUUCCACCUUGACCAGGAUACAGUUACAGACGCAAAGAAUACUCAAUGUAAGAUGAGCUGAUUGACUCAGUGUGGAAAAAAACUGAGACAUAGUAUUGAUUUUACUCAUCUUCUGGUUGCUUUAAUAAUUGUGAACACUUUUAGUGUGGUCAUUAUUUAUGAGCUAAUAUGAAACCAUUUUUCUGGUCCGGCCCACUUCAGGUUAAAUGGGCUGUAUGUGGCCUUUAACCUGCUGUAAACCCAACCAUGGGAAUUUAUGUGGCACAUAAGCUGAUGCAAAUGCAAAAAUGUGAUUGUUAUGCAAUUCUAUUGCUGGCAUCUCUACUUCCUCUUUGGUCAUGUAAAUGUGUGAUAUGAUUUUAACGUUUUUUUCCUGACGAUGACGGUUGCCACAAACAAAAACAGAAGCACUGCCUUUUCAAUGAAAAAGAAGAAGACACAAUCCUGACAUAAAAAGUUUGGAUUGGCAAUCCUAAAAAUCUUUUUUAUAUAUAUAUUAAAUGAUUGCAGCAAAAUUGCUCUUAUUUGUUGGAAGAACAAUUGACAAAUAAUUAGUUAAACCUCACAUUAAUGGAUAUCAUGUACACACCACAGAGACACAUCCAGCUUUUGCUACGUAUAUGUUCUCAUGGCUGAAUGCGUCACUUUGUCCUCAUGUGUUGACCCAAAUAACAAUAUUAUACCCUCAGAAGAACUGUAUAUAUCUACUGUCAUAUAAACAUUGUGUUCUUCUGAGGUCAUGAUCAACAUUAUUUCUUUUUACAUUCUUGAUCUACAGUUUAAGUUGAAACUUACCCAAAACACCAACAGCGAUAGCCCAAGGUUUAGUAGAGGAUGCAUCGCCUGUAAAAAAAAAAAAAAAAA